ACCUGAAGUCAAGUAAGAUCACCCGCUGAACUUAAGCAUAUCAGUAAGCGGAGGA
rnacentral:rRNA from 1 species